UAGAAUUUAGUUGAUUUACAACAUUAAAUUGCAAGUUUAAAAGAAUAUAUUUAGUUCUAU
rnacentral:tRNA from 1 species